UUUUUUUUUAUUAAUUUUAUUAGCAUGAAAGAUUUGUUGAAAUCGUACAUACAGUAUAAUGAAAUAGUACAUUCAGUAUGUUGAUAACAAUUUGAUUUGUAAAAAUGUAUUAAUAAUAUAAACUGCGACUUUGAUUUUUAGAUAAAAUUACCUUUAAUAUAAAAAAGCAGGUAGGCAAAGACCAACAGCUUUCAAAAAAAAAA